AUAUGCUCGUCUAAAAGAUUAAGCCAUGCAUGUCUUAGUAUAAGCAUUUUUAUACAGCGAAACUGCGGAUGGCUCAUUAUAUCAGUAAUAAUCUACUCGAUGAACAAAACUCGACUUGGAUAACUGUAGGAAUUCUAGAGCUAAUACAUGCAAAGAAUCUGGACUUGGGGAAACUCAGGGAAAGAUGCCUUUACUUGAUUCUUGAAACCAGCACCGGGCGUUAAAAACCCGGUAAAAAUCCUUUUCGAUGAUUCAGAGUAAAUUUAGCAGACCGGAGAUUUAAAUUUUCGGCGAUUUGAAAGAGAUUCUGCCCUAUCAACUUUCAACCGUAGUCUAGUGGACUACGGUGGUGGUAACGGGUACGGGGAAUUAGGGUUCGAUUCCGGAGAGGGAGCCUGAGAAACGGCUCCCACUUCCAAGGAAGGCAGCAGGCGCGUAAAUUAUCCAAUCCUAAUACGGGGAGAUAGUGACAAGAAAUACCGAUGUAGUGGCAUCAAAGCUACUACUAUUGGAAUGAGAACAGCGUAAAUUCCUUAUCGAGGAACUAUUGGAGGGCAAGUCUGGUGCCAGCAGCCGCGGUAAUUCCAGCUCCAAGAGUGUAUAUUAGAGUUGUUGCGGUUAAAAAGCUCGUAGUUGGAUUUUAAAUUUUAUGGAUUCUUUAAUCUCCUUUUGGAUUUUUAAAAAUUCAUUUGGGGGUUUUGAUUCGUAAUUUUUUAUUUCUAUAGGGAUUUUUCUUUGGAUUUCGACGUAAAAAAUUGGGGUUCUUUGAAUAUUAAGUUUUUAUAGAUUGUUUACUUUGAAAAAAUUAGAGUGUUUAAAGCAGGCAUAUUUGUCAUUUUUAUAAUGAAUAUUACAGCAUGGGAUAAUAAAAUAAGACAUUGGCCUUAUUUUGUUGGUUUUGAGGGUUUAAUGUAAUGAUAAAAAGGGAUAGUUGGGGCAACUUGUAUUUGGUCGCUAGGGGUGAAAUCCUAUGAUUGACCAAAGACAAACAAAUGCGAAAGCACUUUGCAAGGAUGUUUUCAUUAAUCAAGAACGAAAGUUGGGGGAUCGAAGAUGAUCAGAUACCGUCGUAGUCUCAACCAUAAACUAUGUCGACUUAGGAUUAAAAAAUAUUACAUGGAUGAUUUUUUUAGCACUAGAAGAGAAAUCGAUAAGUAUUCAGACUCCGGGGGGAGUAUGGUCGCAAGAGUGAAACUUAAAGGAAUUGACGGAAGGGCACCACCAGGAGUGGAAUCUGCGGCU
rnacentral:rRNA from 1 species